AUAAAAUCGAUGAGAAGAAGAGUAAAUUUAAAAACAAAAUUAAAGAGAACUGUGAAUUGGUGAAAGUGCAGUAUUUAUGAUUAAAUUGAAUGGGUCUUUGAGAUUUGAAGUGAAAGUAUAUAAUUUAUAUUAUUAAUUUCAAACGUAAACCGCGUUAAGGAAGAAAAGAUUACAUUAUUUUGAGGGGAGUUAUGCUCCUGAAAAUAGGUGGUACCGCGUGAAAUAUACACGCCCUAUAG
rnacentral:ncRNA from 1 species